rnacentral:lncRNA from 1 species
CUCAGCACUGAAAUGCACAAACCCGAGAGCUCCCUUUUUACGUAAUCCCUCUGGUGUUCCGGUACCCAACCCAGAUAUCGGUACACAACACUGAAAUCCUGCACUUUGCAGAUUUUAGAGUUAGAACUCCAACCUGCACUACAUCGAGUCUGUUUUCGCGUCAAUUUCGCGCCAAAACGACUCCGACUCGUCCUGAACUCUCCAGACGUGUCGACAAGCCACAGACGCUACAGUCACUUGGACAGCUAAACCCCAGGAACACUACAUUCUCUCCCACUACAAAAAGUUUCGUCC